GGGCCCGCACAAGCGGUGGAGCAUGUGGUUUAAUUCGAUGAUACGCGAGGAACCUUACCAGGACUUAAAUGCAUAACGAUCGGUUGAGAAAUCAACUUUUCUUCGGACGGUAUGCAAGGUGCUGCAUGGUUGUCGUCAGCUCGUGCCGUGAGGUGUCAGGUUAAGUCCUAUAACGAGCGCAACCCCUAUUCUUAGUUGCCAGCGGUUCGGCCGGGGACUCUAAGAAACUGCCAGCGCAAGCUGUGAGGAAGGUGGGGAUGACGUCAAAUCAUCACGGCCCUUACGUCCUGGGCCACACACGUGCUACAAUGGUAGGUACAAAGGGCAGCCACUUGGCGACAAGGAGCUAAUCUCUAAAACCUAUCUCAGUUCGGAUUGGAGUCUGCAACUCGACUCUAUGAAGCUGGAAUCGCUAGUAAUCGCGCAUC
rnacentral:rRNA from 1 species